AUUUUCUAUUGUUAUUUUAUUUCAAAUCAUAUUGGAUAAUUAAAGUAGUGUCCAUUUAUAUUCCAUUGUUUAUCUGCUCAUUUAAAUAUAAAUGUAUCAUUUCUACAGGUCAUACGAGUAUUGAUCUAUGUUCACACUGCAUUUACAGUUGGACUUGCGCUUUUAGCCAAAUGUGUGAUCAGUCUGACAAAAACAUUUUACACUUACUCAAAUCAAGUAUACUGAAGGGCUCUUCCAUUAACUCAGUUUACUACAUUUCACCUUGUCUUGCCAUGUUUGAGUCCUAAAACCCAUAUCUUUUCAUACCACUUACAGCACUGGUCAGAUAUAGUGUUUUCCAUCACUGAUCUGAAGAGGAUAUGUAAUGUUUCUGUGGCUGUGCUGUGACUCAGAUGAUCACAGGGAUCAUGGUUAAGAUGCAGGUGGUAUAGCAAUAAGGACGAUGAAAAUAAUGCUCAUUCUAAUUAUGAUUUAGGAUUUUAAAACUCUAAAGUUCUAAAGAAUCUCUGUCUUCCAAAUGUUUAACAUGAAAAAGGUAUUUUCUUUCUUUAACUGAGGUGCUUGCUAUACAGCUCAGUCCAUGGAAGGCUUCUGUUACGUAUGCUCAUCAGUCAUCACCUCCUUGCAGCUUUUUCAUUUUUAAUGGUUGUAUGCAGAUUUACAAAGUAAACCAGUACUCAGUAGUGUUCAUCUGAUUUACCCUCCCUCACUGCAUCACAAUCUUAGAAUCAGCAAGCUAGUGGUGACAACUAUUCCAUCUGCUACAAUUUGAGCUAGUCUAGCUUAACACAAAGCCUCCUGACUUCAGUGUGUCAUUGCAGUGAUUUGUCAGGCAAAAAUGUAACAGCGAGACAAACUUGUUUUGCAGAGUAUGUUUUUGCGCCACCAUCUCAAAGCCUAUGAUUGAAAAGUGUAUAAUUACUCUGUCGGAACAGAGGGAUCUGGCUGUAUAGAAAGCACCGUCUUGUUUCCUUUAAGAGUCUUUAUAAGUGAUAACUAUGAACAGAUGAAAGAAUUUACAGAAUAUAUAUGUGAAACGCAUACAUUCAUAUUAACAUAUAUGAAUUUGAAAUGUUUUAAGAGAUUAAUAAUACGUUACUAGAAUUAUAAAGAUGAAGAAAUAGC
ensembl:lncRNA